rnacentral:rRNA from 1 species
GACGAACGCUGGCGGCGUGCUUAACACAUGCAAGUCGAACGGAAAGGCCCUGCUUUUGUGGGGUGCUCGAGUGGCGAACGGGUGAGUAACACGUGAGUAACCUGCCCUUGACUUUGGGAUAACUUCAGGAAACUGGGGCUAAUACCGGAUAGGAGCUCCUGCUGCAUGGUGGGGGUUGGAAAGUUUCGGCGGUUGGGGAUGGACUCGCGGCUUAUCAGCUUGUUGGUGGGGUAGUGGCUUACCAAGGCUUUGGAGGGUAGCCGGCCUGAGAGGGUGACCGGCCACAUGGGGACUGAGAGACGGACCAGACGCCUACGGGAGGCAGCAGUGGGGAAUAUUGCACAAUGGGCGGAAGCCUGAUGCAGCAACGCCGCGUGCGGGAUGACGGCCUGCGGGUUGUAAACCGCUUUCGCCUGUGACGAAGCGUGAGUGACGGUAAUGGGUAAAGAAGCACCGGCUAACUACGUG